GCCAUUCAGGACAUGGAACCAAUACCUGACCAUGCCUUAAAAUUUUUACUCCAAGACGACCAACGUUAAACGACAUCAGUAUGAAAUUCAAACUCGUUUUUUUUUCAGUUUCUCUAUUCUUUCAGAAACUUAUACCCCUUAUACUUUAAUUCGAUUUUGGCUAAUCUUAAUUUCUCGUAUGGCCAAAGCCCUGUCCUCGAUGUACAUGUCUGUAAAUAAUAAUAAUGAAAGCAUUGUAAGCGGAAACUGUUUGGUUUUUUACUUUAAUUAUGGAUGUCUUUUCUGUCGAUGUUGUCGAUUUUGAAAUCCGUCACGUGAGAUGUGCAAAAUCAACAAUUGGCUCAAGACAAAUAGAAGAAUGGUGGCUAAAUAAAACUUGGUGAGAUGAUCAGCGGGCUGUCGGAGCGCAUGUGAAAUUGAAUUUGGAGCGGUUUGAAUUUAAGGGGGAAUCGAUUUUUAAUGAUUUCAAUCGAUAUGUUAAGUCAAGUAUCACUAAUCGUAGUGUCGUCUGCUGUACUGUCGUCUUACGAAUUUUGAAAAGACGAGACGAACAACGAAGGUCUACACUUUACAAAGGAAGAAAGGAACAAUCAUUAUUAUUUGAAAAUGUGCAUGUGGCUGCACGAAAAAUUGCACAACAAAGAAAAUUUAAAAAAUGUUGUCGCGUUAACUCAUCACGUGUCUAUUAUUAGAAUCGCUUAAUGGCCAAAGCGUGCUGUUGUAUAGCAGAUUUGAAGCCAGAGCCAGCCAUCAUAUCCACAGGAAUUUCAAGUUGUGCUUGUGCUGUUAUUGACCUGUCACCAGCAACAAGCCCUCAUCGCUUGGAUAAACAUCAUCCCGUUUUGGAUUGGAUAGACUUCUGUUGUUCGAGCUCUUUCUCAAAAUCUUCUCUGUCCUCGUGUACUCCCAUGUGAGGUGUGGGUGUAUUCACGAGGACACCCUUUUUCCCUCCUGGUGGAUUCAACUUUCGAGCGAAUGGAUCGAGCACUUGUGGAUGGAUGCCUGGCCGUAUCUCCCAGGCAUAAAGGUAGGAACAAAUGUCUCUAUUCUUCCUUUGUGACUUUUAGAUGGCGUUGAUCGUAAAUCGUAACAUAGUACGGAGUAUGAUUAUUCCUGAGCUUUGAUACUGGAACUGUGUUUUCUCUCGCCGUUUUCUGUUGUCUCAGUCAGAGUUAGGGUUAAUUCAUUAACUCAUUUAUCGAACAAUUUCAGAUCAGGUUCGGUUUUUUACUCACAACCUUGUCUGUGGAGUAAACAAUUAAAUCUAAAAAUAGUUAAACUUUCCACACUUGAAGCAAAGUGCAACUUGAACGUUUUUUAUUUCUAUUCUAACCAAGCAGGAUUUGCCGCCACACUUGCACUUGCUCGUCAAUGCGAUAGAUGGCGGUCGUUGUCGGUUUUCUCAAUCACCUGAAUUACGAAUAGUCUUAUCGUGAGAAAUCAAUUUGCCUAUAAUCGGGAUUUAUUCAAAUUGAUUUUUGACUUUGUCCCAU